UCUAACAUUACAAAUCAAUAAAGCAUGCUUAACAAUAGCAGAACUCUUUUGACUUUUAAUUAUCUUUUCCAGUCUUUAAAUCUUUACAAAAUUCAUUGUCCCACUAACACCAUCCUAUAAAACAGGUUAUGGCUUCCAAUUGUUAAUCAACUAUAAAGCAUGAACAAAGGCACAAAUAUCGCAGUAUCUUUUGCAAAUGAUACAAAUGUCCAUGGCCUCGAUACUGAACAAAAAGCAAGAUUUCUUGUCAGGCGGUAAGCUGAAUCCUCGAGAACAUUCGAAAAAUGUCCAUUUAAUGCGCCACUGGGCCGUUCCUAUUUAAAUGGGCAUCAUGCACAGAACUUGGCCAUCCAGGUCAUAUGU